rnacentral:rRNA from 1 species
ACCCGCACAAGCAGCGGAGCGUGUGGUUUAAUUCGAGGCUACACGAAGAACUUACCAGGUUUGACAUGCAAGUGGUAGGAAUCCGAAAGGUGACCGACCCUUCGGGAGCUUGCACAGGUGCUGCAUGGCUGUCGUCAGCUCGUGUCGUGAGAUGUUCGGUUAAGUCCGCUAACGAGCGCAACCCUCGUCGUGUGUUAUACGUGUCACACGAUACUGCCGGUAUCAAGCCGGAGGAAGGUGGGGAUGAUGUCAAGUCAGCAUGGCCUUUAUAUCCUGGGCUACACACACGCUACAAUGGCAGAUACAAUAGGUUGCGAAACCGCGAGGUGGAGCCAAUCCUCAAAGUCUGUCUCAGUUCAGAUUGUAGGCUGCAACUCGCCUGCAUGAAGUUGGAGUUGCUAGUAAACGCAGGUCAGCUAUACUGCGUUGAAUACGUUCCCGGGGUUU